rnacentral:rRNA from 1 species
AGUGAACGCUGGCGGUAGGCCUAACACAUGCAAGUCGAACGGCAGCACAGUAAGAGCUUGCUCUUACGGGUGGCGAGUGGCGGACGGGUGAGGAAUACAUCGGAAUCUACUUUUUCGUGGGGGAUAACGUAGGGAAACUUACGCUAAUACCGCAUACGACCUACGGGUGAAAGCAGGGGAUCUUCGGACCUUGCGCGAUUGAAUGAGCCGAUGUCGGAUUAGCUAGUUGGCGGGGUAAAGGCCCACCAAGGCGACGAUCCGUAGCUGGUCCGAGAGGAUGAUCAGCCACACUGGAACUGAGACACGGUCCAGACUCCUACGGGAGGCAGCAGUGGGGAAUAUUGGACAAUGGGCGCAAGCCUGAUCCAGCCAUACCGCGUGGGUGAAGAAGGCCUUCGGGUUGUAAAGCCCUUUUGUUGGGAGAGAAAAGCAGCAGGUUAAUACCCCGCUGUUCUGACGGUACCCAAAGAAUAAGCACCGGCUAACUUCGUG